GUAACGAAACCUUCUAUCCUAUAUCGUUUUUUGGAUAUAAAACCAAAUCCCGUAAACCCAAUUUUGACAAAGAAAAGAGAUUUUCAUUUCUACACACAGCACACAACACCACCGUUUCCUUUCGUUGCAAAGAGAAGAGAUUUUCAUUUCUACACACAGCACACAACACCACCGUUUCAAGAUGCAAAUCUUUGUUAAGACCCUCACUGGAAAGACUAUCACUCUCGAAGUUGAGAGUUCAGAUACCAUUGACAAUGUUAAGGCCAAGAUUCAAGACAAGGAAGGGAUUCCACCAGACCAGCAGCGUCUCAUUUUUGCUGGAAAGCAGCUGGAGGACGGGCGAACCCUUGCUGAUUACAACAUCCAGAAGGAGUCCACACUCCAUUUGGUGCUCCGUCUCCGUGGUGGGAUGCAAAUAUUUGUCAAGACUCUCACCGGAAAGACCAUCACUCUUGAGGUUGAGAGUUCCGACACCAUUGACAAUGUGAAGGCCAAGAUUCAGGAUAAAGAGGGUAUCCCACCAGAUCAGCAGAGGCUUAUAUUUGCUGGUAAACAGCUUGAAGAUGGCCGAACUUUAGCAGAUUACAACAUUCAGAAAGAGUCCACUCUCCACUUAGUGCUCCGUCUCCGUGGUGGUAUGCAGAUAUUUGUUAAGACCCUCACCGGAAAGACCAUCACUCUUGAGGUAGAGAGCUCAGACACAAUUGACAAUGUGAAGGCUAAGAUACAAGACAAAGAGGGUAUCCCACCAGAUCAGCAGAGGCUUAUCUUUGCUGGAAAACAACUUGAAGAUGGCCGAACUCUGGCCGAUUACAAUAUCCAGAAGGAAUCCACCCUUCAUCUUGUCCUACGUUUGAGGGGAGGUAUGCAGAUCUUUGUGAAGACCCUUACAGGGAAGACAAUUACUUUGGAGGUAGAGAGCUCAGACACAAUUGACAAUGUGAAGGCUAAGAUACAAGACAAAGAGGGUAUCCCACCAGAUCAGCAGAGGCUCAUAUUUGCUGGAAAACAGCUUGAAGAUGGCCGAACCCUGGCUGAUUACAAUAUCCAGAAAGAGUCAACUCUUCAUCUUGUAUUGCGACUUCGAGGCGGUAUGCAGAUAUUUGUGAAGACCCUUACAGGAAAGACAAUUACUUUGGAGGUAGAGAGCUCAGACACAAUUGACAAUGUGAAGGCUAAGAUACAGGACAAGGAGGGCAUUCCCCCAGACCAGCAAAGGCUGAUUUUUGCUGGAAAGCAACUCGAAGAUGGCCGAACUUUGGCUGAUUACAAUAUCCAGAAGGAAUCCACCCUUCAUCUUGUCCUACGGUUGAGGGGAGGUAUGCAGAUCUUUGUGAAGACUUUGACAGGGAAGACCAUUACAUUGGAGGUAGAAAGUUCCGACACAAUUGAUAAUGUGAAGACAAAAAUACAGGACAAAGGAGGGAAUCCCACCAGAUCAGCAGAGGUUGAUCUUUGCUGGGAAGCAAUUGGAGGAUGGAAGGACCCUUGCUGACUAUAACAUUCAGAAAGAGUCUACUCUCCACCUUGUGUUGCGUCUUCGUGGUGGAUUCUAAGCAUUUGGAAGUCCUUGCAGGUCUUUGGUUUUUAUUGUUUCUGAACUUGUUAUUGGAUGGGUCUUGAGUAUAUAUAAUGGCCUUUGAAAUUAGGUUUGCUUUUGGUAUUUGUAUGAUUUCUGUUCACAUGGUUUUAGUUCAUAAACAUGGGCUAUUUGCUAUUGUUUGAAUGAUCAUUUACUAUUUCUGUUUUUA